GCUGGGCAUGGUGGUGCGUGCCUGUAGUCCCAGCUACUCAGGAGGCUGAGGCACAAGAAUCACUUGAACCCAGGAGGCAGAGGCUGCAGUGAGCCGAGAUCACGCCACUGCACUCUGGCCUGGGUGACAGAGUGAGACCCUGUCUCAA
rnacentral:SRP_RNA from 2 species